GUGUGUGAAGAAGGCCUUUUGGUUGUAAAGCACUUUAAGCAGUGAAGAAGACUCUAUGGUUAAUACCCAUGGACGAUGACAUUAGCUGCAGAAUAAGCACCGGCUAACUCUGUGCCAGCAGCCGCGGUAAUACAGAGGGUGCAAGCGUUAAUCGGAAUUACUGGGCGUAAAGGGAGCGUAGGUGGCUCUAUAAGUCAGAUGUGAAAUCCCCGGGCUUAACCUGGGAACUGCAUCUGAAACUGUAGAGCUAGAGUAUGUGAGAGGAAGGUAGAAUUCCAGGUGUAGCGGUGAAAUGCGUAGAGAUCUGGAGGAAUACCGAUGGCGAAGGCAGCCUUCUGGCAUAAUACUGACACUGAGGCUCGAAAGCGUGGGUAGCAAACAGGAUUAGAUACCCUGGUAGUCCACGCCGUAAACGAUGUCUACUAGUCGUUGGGUCCCUUGAGGACUUAGUGACGCAGCUAACGCAAUAAGUAGACCGCCUGGGGAGUACGGCCGCAAGGUUAAAACUCAAAUGAAUUGACGGGGGCCCGCACAAGCGGUGGAGCAUGUGGUUUAAUUCGAUGCAACGCGAAGAACCUUACCUGGUCUUGACAUAUCUAGAAUCCUGCAGAGAUGCGGGAGUGCCUUCGGGAAUUAGAAUACAGGUGCUGCAUGGCUGUCGUCAGCUCGUGUCGUGAGAUGUUGGGUUAAGUCCCGCAACGAGCGCAACCCUUGUCCUUAGUUACCAGCGGGUUAAGCCGGGAACUCUAAGGAUACUGCCAGUGACAAACUGGAGGAAGGCGGGGACGACGUCAAGUCAUCAUGGCCCUUACGACCAGGGCUACACACGUGCUACAAUGGUAGGUACAGAGGGCAGCUACACAGCGAUGUGAUGCGAAUCUCAAAAAGCCUAUCGUAGUCCAGAUUGGAGUCUGCAACUCGACUCCAUGAAGUAGGAAUCGCUAGUAAUCGCGGAUCAGAAUGCCGCGGUGAAUACGUUCCCGGGCCUUGUACACACCGCCCGUCACACCAUGGGAGUUGAUUGCACCAGAAGUGGAUAGCUUAACCUUCGGGGGA
rnacentral:rRNA from 1 species